rnacentral:lncRNA from 10 species
GCUGCUCUGCCUAUGGAGUGGCUAUUCUUUAUUCCUUUACUUGCUUUUUUUUUUUUUAAGUGAAAGCAAGUUUAUUAAGAAAGUAAAGGAAUAAAGACUGGCUACUCCAUAGGCAGACCAGCCUAUUCCUUUACUUUCUUAAUAAACUUUCUUUCAUUUUACUCUAUGGACUUGCCCCAAAUUCUUUCUUGCACAAGAUCCAAGAACUCUCUCUUGGGGUCUGGAUCAGGAUCCCUUUCCGAUAACAUCUUCCUGUGGAAUCACAAAGGCACUAUAAUGAGGAGACCCCCGACCCAAAGGGAAUAGACUGCAGCACCAAUUGGCCGACCUUGGAGACCACAUGUUAAAUCUCCUGGUCAGAAGAUCAUUCCACCCAACCCUGAAUGGAUUAAAGUUGACAGGGCCCAACCAGGGGGCUAUGGUGUGGCGAGCAGGGAACUGCUC